CCUACGGGGGGCAGCAGUGGGGAAUAUUGGGCAAUGGGCGCAAGCCUGAUCCAGCAACGCCGCGUGAGGGAAGAAGGCUUUCGGGUUGUAAACUUCUUUUCUCAGGGACGAAAAAAGUGACGGUACCUGAGGAAUAAGCCACGGCUAACUACGUGCCAGCAGCCGCGGUAAUACGUAGGUGGCAAGCGUUAUCCGGAUUUAUUGGGUGUAAAGGGCGAGUAGGCGGGAGUGCAAGUCUGAUGUGAAAGCUCCGGGCUCAACCCUGGGCCUGCAUUUGAAACUGUGUUUCUUGAGUGCUGGAGAGGCAGGCGGAAUUCCGUGUGUAGCGGUGAAAUGCGUAGAUAUAAGGAGGAACACCAGUGGCGAAGGCGGAUUGCUGGACAGUAACUGACGCUGAGGCGCGAAAGCGUGGGGAGCAAACAGGAUUAGAUACCCGAGUAGUC
rnacentral:rRNA from 1 species